rnacentral:rRNA from 1 species
CGGUAAUUCCAGCUCCAAUAGCGUAUACUAAAGUUGUUGCAGUUAAAAAGCUCGUAGUUGGAUUUCUGCGGGGACGGAGCGGCCGGACGCAACUUGCGUCUCGAGCUAGCGCUUUCCCCGCAUCCUGCCGCGAACCGUGCUACCAUUAGUUUGGUGGCGCUGGGGAUCGGCUCGAUUACUUUGAGAAAAAUAGAGUGUUCAAAGCAGGCCACACGCCUUGAAUAAGUUAGCAUGGAAUAAUGACUAAGGGCUUCGGUUCUAUUUUGUUGGUGUUCGGGACUGAAGUAAUGAUUGAUAGGGACAGUUGGGGCGGUCUGUAUUCCAAAGCGAGAGGUGAAAUUCUUAGACCUUCGGAAGACAAACAGCUGCGAAAGCGUUCCGCAAGGAUGUUCCCUUUGAUCAAGAACGAAAGUUGGGGGAUCGAAGACGAUCAGAUACCGUCGUAGUCUCAACUAUAAACUAUACCAGCUAGGGAUCGGCCAACGUUUAAUUAUUCGACUUGGUCGGCACCUUAUGAGAAAUCAAAGCAUCUGGGUUCCGGGGGGAGUAUGGUCGCAAGGCUGAAACUUAAAGGAAUUGACGGAAGGGCACCACCAGCCGUGGAGCCUGUGGCUUAAUUUGACUCAACACGGGAAAACUUACCAGGUCCAGACAUAGGAAGGAUUGACAGAUUGAUAGCUCUUUCUUGAUUCUGUGGGUGGUGGUGCAUGGCCGUUUUUAGUUGGUGGAGUGAUUUGUCUGCUUAAUUGCGUUAACGAACGAGACCCCAGCCUGCUAAAUAGCGCGGCCGAGCUUUGCUCGGUGCGAGCUUCUUAGAGGGACCAUGAUGCGCGAUAGCACAAGGAAGUUUGGGGCAACAACAGGUCUGUGAUGCCCUUAGAUGUUCUGGGCCGCACACGGGCUACACUGGCGCCUGCAACGAGCAUAUCAGCUGGCCCGAGAAAGUCUUGGCUAAUCUUUUGAACCGGCGCCGUGCUUGGGAUUGACCUUUGCAAUUGUUGGUCAUGCAACGAGGAAUGCCUUGUAAACGCGAGUCAUCAGCUCGCAUUGAAUACGUCCCUGCCCUUUGUACACACCGCCCGUCGCUCCUACCGAUGAAUGUUCCGAUGAAAUUUUCGGAGAGCGCCAGAGAACGGGGCUCUGCCUUGCAGAUCUGGAGGCUCAAAGUCACUUAAAUCUGAACAUUUCGAGGAAGGAGAAGUCGUAACAAGGUAGCCG